UACGUAGGGUGCAAGCGUUGUCCGGAAUUAUUGGGCGUAAAGAGCUCGUAGGUGGUUUGUUACGUCUGCUGUGAAAACCUAGGGCUUAACCCUGGGCUUGCAGUGGAUACGGGCAGACUAGAGGUAGGUAGGGGAGAAUGGAAUUCCUGGUGUAGCGGUGAAAUGCGCAGAUAUCAGGAGGAACACCCGGUGGCGAAGGCGGGUCUCUGGGCCGUAACUGACGCUGAGGAGCGAAAGCGUGGGGGAGCGAACAGG
rnacentral:rRNA from 1 species